rnacentral:rRNA from 1 species
UACAGAGGGGGCAAGCGUUGUUCGGAAUUACUGGGCGUAAAGGGCGCGUAGGCGGCCUGUUAAGUCGAACGUGAAAUCCCCGGGCUCAACCCGGGAACUGCGUCCGAUACUGGCAGGCUUGAAUUCGGGAGAGGGAUGUGGAAUUCCAGGUGUAGCGGUGAAAUGCGUAGAUAUCUGGAGGAACACCGGUGGCGAAGGCG